rnacentral:rRNA from 1 species
AGUGAACGCUGGCGGUAGGCCUAGCACAUGCAAGUCGAACGGCAGCACAGUAAGAGCUUGCUCUUACGGGUGGCGAGUGGCGGACGGGUGAGGAAUACAUCGGAAUCUACUUUUUCGUGGGGGAUAACGUAGGGAAACUUACGCUAAUACCGCAUACGACCUACGGGUGAAAGCAGGGGAUCUUCGGACCUUGCGCGAUUGAAUGAGCCGAUGUCGGAUUAGCUAGUUGGCGGGGUAAAGGCCCACCAAGGCGACGAUCCGUAGCUGGUCUGAGAGGAUGAUCAGCCACACUGGAACUGAGACACGGUCCAGACUCCUACGGGAGGCAGCAGUGGGGAAUAUUGGACAAUGGGCGCAAGCCUGAUCCAGCCAUACCGCGUGGGUGAAGAAGGCCUUCGGGUUUUAAAGCCCUUUUGUUGGGAAAGAAAAGCAGCAGGUUAAUACCCCGCUGUUCUGACGGUACCCAAAAAAUAAGCACCGGCUAACUUCGUG